UCGCGUUCCUUCCUCUCCUCCUGCUCUCUGCUGUUUUCCCUCGGAUCCGUCACCUCUCUCUGUCUCUCCGGACUCUUCCGAUCCUCUCCCGCCCCAGCUGUUUCACUGAGCAGCACGUGGCGACCGGCGCGCAGCAGAGGAACACCCAGACCAACAAGAAGAGGGCGAUCCCCAACCAGGGGGAGAUCCUGGUAAGUACCGUGGAGCGGGAUUAGUGCCGGAAGCAGCAUUCCCGACAUUCCCGACAUUCCCGCUUCCCAGGAUGGAGCACGCUGCCGGGAGCAGGGGGGUGGCAUUCCCAGGGGCAUUCCCAGAGGGAUCCGGGAGGUGGGAAUUGGCUCCGUCCCCUCCGUGCCCGCUCCUGGCUCUUCCCAA